rnacentral:rRNA from 1 species
AAGUCGUAACAAGGUCUCCGUUGGUGAACCAGCGGAGGGAUCAUUAUUAGAAGCCGAAAGGCUACUUAAAACCAUCGCGAACUCGUCCAAGUUGCUUCGGCGGCGCGGCCUCCCUCACGGGGGCGCCGCAGCCCCGCCUCUCCGGAGGUGUGGGGCGCCCGCCGGAGGUACGAAACUCUGUAUUAUAGUGGCAUCUCUGAGUAAAAAACAAAUAAGUUAAAACUUUCAACAACGGAUCUCUUGGUUCUGGCAUCGAUGAAGAACGCAGCGAAAUGCGAUAAGUAAUGUGAAUUGCAGAAUUCAGUGAAUCAUCGAAUCUUUGAACGCACAUUGCGCCCGCUAGUACUCUAGCGGGCAUGCCUGUUCGAGCGUCAUUUCAACCCUCAAGCCCUGCUUGGUGUUGGGGCCCUACGGCUGCCGUAGGCCCUGAAAGGAAGUGGCGGGCUCGCUACAACUCCGAGCGUAGUAAUUCAUUAUCUCGCUAGGGACGUUGCGGCGCGCUCCUGCCGUUAAAGACCAUCUUUAACUCAAGGUUGACCUCGGAUCAGGUAGGAAUACCCGCUGAACUUAAGCAUAUCAAUAAGCGGAGGAAAAGAAACCAACAGGGAUUGCCCCAGUGACGGCGAGUGAAGCGGCAACAGCUCAAAUUUGAAAUCUGGCUUCGGCCCGAGUUGUAAUUUGUAGAGGAUGCUUUUGGUGAGGUGCCCUCUGAGUUCCCUGGAACGGGACGCCAGAGAGGGUGAGAGCCCCGUAUAGUCGGCCACCGAUCCUCUGUAAAGCUCCUUCGACGAGUCGAGUAGUUUGGGAAUGCUGCUCAAAAUGGGAGGUAUAUCUCUUCUAAAGCUAAAUAUUGGCCAGAGACCGAUAGCGCACAAGUAGAGUGAUCGAAAGAUGAAAAGCACUUUGGAAAGAGAGUUAAACAGUACGUGAAAUUGUUGAAAGGGAAGCGCUUGCAAUCAGACUUGCACGCUGUUGAUCAUCGGAGGUUCUCCCCCGUGCACUCGGCAGCGUUCAGGCCAGCAUCGGUUUGGGUGGUUAGAUAAAGGCCUUGGGAAUGUAGCUUCUUUCGGGGAGUGUUAUAGCCCUUGGUGCAAUGUAGCCUACCUGGACCGAGGACCGCGCUUCGGCUAGGAUGCUGGCGUAAUGGUUGUAAGCGACC